AUACAUAGGGGGCGAGCGUUAUCCGGAUUUAUUGGGCGUAAAGGGUGCGUAGGCGGUAAAUUAAGUCUAAGGUUAAAGUGCAGGGCUCAACCCUGUGAUGCCUUAGAAACUGGUUUACUUGAGUUUGGUAGAGGUAAGUGGAACUCCAUGGGUAGCGGUAAAAUGCGUAAAUUUAUAGAAGAACACCAGUGGAGAAGGCGGCUUACUGGGCCAAAACUAACGCUGAGGCACAAAAGCGUGGGGAGCAAACAGGAUUAGAUCCCCUGGUAGUCCACGCCGUAAACGAUGAGCACUAAGUGUCGGAUGAAUUUUCGGCGCUGCAGUUAACACAAUAAGUGCUCCGCCUGGGGAGUACGGUCGCAAGACUGAAACUUAAAGGAAUUGACGGGG
rnacentral:rRNA from 1 species